GGAGCCUGGCUCCAGAGUCCAGAAGGAGGGGGGCCCCCACGGGGAUGUGUUCGGUCCAAGUCAAAGCCAAGCCAGGGGACCCACCUCCAGAGGACUCAGACCCCACCCUGCUUUGGCCUUUUCUCUCUCGAAGUCUCCAGCACGGCCCUGGCCUCAAGGAGCACACCGCUUUACGGUAGCAUGAACGAGCAAGCAGGAGAUGUUGCAAACUGUCAGGAACUGUCAGCGGACGCCUGCCCCAAUCAGCCUCAUGCCUGGCACACAGGGGGUGCUGGACCUCGAAGGAAGGUUCAAGGAAGGUGGGAAGACAGGAGGGAGGCCAAGAGGGCCGCGUGAACCAUGCUGCUGGGGUGGCAUUCUCCACCACGACCCCCGCCAUAAGGUAUUUUCAAACACACCCACGCUCUUCUUUGGCCAGUGCACGGGGCUUAGCAGGGCCACCCUCCUGGGA
rnacentral:lncRNA from 1 species